AAAUGAGCUACAGGGUGAGAGGCAUGACGAAAAUACCAGUAGUAGUUUCGUACGAUAAUUAAUUUGAACAUACCUUUACUAAAACAGUAAUUAAUCUCUCUCUGUAACUCCAAAUUUAGUGGAGUUUGAUUCUGUUGAAAACUAACUUGCGGUCGUUUCGGUACCAGUUUGGUGAAUUAUUGAUCCAAAUUGAGUUCUGUG
rnacentral:lncRNA from 1 species